GAUGAACGCUAGCUACAGGCUUAACACAUGCAAGUCGAGGGGAAACGAUAUUGGAAGCUUGCUUCCGAUAGGCGUCGACCGGCGCACGGGUGAGUAACGCGUAUCCAACCUGCCCACCACUUGGGGAUAACCUUGCGAAAGUAAGACUAAUACCCAAUGAUAUCUCUAGAAGACAUCUGAAAGAGAUUAAAGAUUUAUCGGUGAUGGAUGGGGAUGCGUCUGAUUAGCUUGUUGGUGGGGUAACGGCCCACCAAGGCGACGAUCAGUAGGGGUUCUGAGAGGAAGGUCCCCCCACAUUGGAACUGAGACACGGUCCAAACUCCUACGGGAGGCAGCAGUGAGGAAUAUUGGUCAAUGGGGCGAGAGCCUGAACCAGCCAAGUAGCGUGCAGGAUGACGGCCCUAUGGGUUGUAAACUGCUUUUAUAAGGGAAUAAAGUGAGUCUCGUGAGACUUUUUGCAUGUACCUUAUGAAUAAGGACCGGCUAAUUCCGUGCCAGCAGCCG
rnacentral:rRNA from 1 species